rnacentral:rRNA from 1 species
AUACGGGAGGCAGCAGUAGGGAAUAUUGCUUAAUGGGCGCAAGCCUGAAGCAGCAACGCCGCGUGUGCGAUGACGGCCUUCGGGUUGUAAAGCACUUUUUACCGGGAAGAGGAAGGACGGUACCGGUAGAAUCAGCCUCGGCUAACUACGUGCCAGCAGCCGCGGUAAAACGUAGGAGGCGAGCGUUAUCCGGAUUUACUGGGUGUAAAGCGCGUGCAGGCGGUUUGAUAAGUUGGGUGUGAAAGCUCCUGGCUCAACUGGGAGAGGUCGCUCAAGACUGUCAGACUAGAGCAUGGUAGGGGAAGGUGGAAUUCCGGGUGUAGUGGUGAAAUGCGUAGAUAUCCGGAGGAACACCAGUGGCGAAAGCGGCCUUCUGGACCAUGACUGACGCUCAGACGCGAAAGCUAGGGGAGCAAACGGGAUUAGAUACCCCGGU